GAUGAACGCUGGCGGCGUGCCUAAUACAUGCAAGUCGAGCGAAUGGAUUGAGAGCUUGCUCUUAUGAAGUUAGCGGCGGACGGGUGAGUAACACGUGGGUAACCUGCCCAUAAGACUGGAUAACUCCGGGAAACCGGGGCUAAUACCGGAUAACAUUUUGAACCGCCUCGUUCGAAAUUGAAAGGCGGCUUUGGCUGUCACUUAUGGAUGGACCCGCGUCGCAUUAGCUAGUUGGUGAGGUAACGGCUCACCAAGGCAACGAUGCGUAGCCGACCCGAGAGGGUGACCGGCCACACUGGGACUGAGACACGGCCCAGACUCCUACGGGAGGCAGCAGUAGGGAAUCUUCCGCAAUGGACGAAAGUCUGACGGAGCAACGCCGCGUGAGUGAUGAAGGCUUUCGGGUCGUAAAACUCUGUUGUUAGGGAAGAACAAGUGCUAGUUGAAUAAGCUGGCACCUUGACGGUACCUAACCAGAAAGCCACGGCUAACUACGUGCCAGCAGCCGCAGUAA
rnacentral:rRNA from 1 species